ACCCCCUUAGAGCGCUUUCCAGUCAGUUCCAACAUGGUUCCACCACCAAAAACAUCAGCAAAACACAAAUCCCGGCCACUUUUAACUAAAAAACACUCCAAGAAGGCAGAGCACGCCCACCAGUAAACACCAACACAAACGAAGUCCAAGGAUGGGUCUCACGGACACAUAUCGCAACGCGUCGCGGUCGUUGUCUCAAUUGCGACGUGUUGCGAGCCGAGUCACUGUUAAAAGGACCCAAAGGACCCCUGAUGGAUUUCAAACUAGUCAGGCUUAUAAUUAACUAACCACCUGAGUACAGCCGGAAGCAUCUAUAUUUAUAAGGGAUUGCAAUAGACCUGUCGUUUUGGUUUAGAGAAAAAAGAAAAAAAUAAUUAAUUAGUUUAGAGGAAAAGAAUUUUCUACACACUAGCAUCAUAACAUGUAAUUUAAUGUUACUUGAAUGCAGGAAUUAGCAUCCUAAUGUCAAUUACUCGUGCCCAAUUAUUCACUGGUUAGGAAGUGAAGUGAAACUCAAAAGAUCGUAGUUUCGAUAAUUCGAUGUUUGCAAGAAGAGUGGUAGGUAUUUAAGUAUCUUAAUAAUUUAUUAAGUUAUAAAUUUUGUUACUUAUAUUGAACUUUCGAUACUAAUAAAGACCAAUUCGAAGUUUUGUCUUUGUAGUUACUGGAUUCUAAAACUUAGCAUCUUCAAAAUGAAAGUAAUUUGAUCAAAUUUAGGAUUAAAAGUUUUUUAGUAUAUUGUGUUAAUUUUCAAAUAACUUAAACUCACUCAUUUAGUUAAAAGCAUGAGCUGUUGAUUAUGUAGAACAGUAUUUUGUUAAGGUAAAAUUAUACUGUUUUUAUACAUAAACGUAACGUAAUAGUCGAAGGAGUCAACAAUAUUCUUUUAGACAUUGAAAUAUUCUAAAGAAAAAUAAUGUUGUCAGUAACUUUUUGAUUGAAAAAACUUUAGUUUUGAAGGUGGGAUGUUUUAAACAUAAUUAUAGGUGAAUCUAACAUAAUUAAAUUAGAUAAGGUUUCUUAUCUACUUAAGUUAUAAAUUAGAAUUUAUUUGGCGCAGUAUGUUGUAUUCUCAAAAUGAUUAAUGUACAGUGACAAUAGAUUUUGACUGUUGUCUUGUAAAAUUUUGUGUCUAACUUGUACUUAAUAAAUAUAAUUAUUAGAAGUAAUAUACACGAAACUUACCUAUGUGUUUAGGAUGUAUGUAGCACGGGCGCAUUAAAUGAAGAUUUUUUCAAACAGCCCUUCAUAUAAAUGUUAACAAUGUAAAUGUUAAUAAUAAUUAUAAAAGUAGUUCAUGUAGUGAGAUUUUGAUAUGUGGAAGGGCAUUUAAUAGGAUAGAUCUUUUUAUAUUUUUCGGAGUACAAUACAUAUUCAUAGUUAAUUGAUGACACGAAAUGCCGUUUUUAUCCCAUUGGUUCAAAUUAAAAUAAUACCGAAAUGAUAUUAUUUUUUAAACCCGUAAUUUUUACCAAAAGUUUUUUGAUUACGUAUAUUUUUGUAGUAUUUCUCUGUCAUAAAAACAAAUAUUUAACUUCGUCUUAGUGUGUCCAAAAUAAAAAGGAGAUCUGUCAAUUAGAAAAUAGUGCUGAUCUGGUGAUGUGUCGAUAUUUCAGUAACGUCAUGCAACUCUAUCGAAUUAUUACUAUCGACUUUUUUAAAAUCUACAUGUCUAUCUAAAAAUUUAAAACUAUUCGCGAAACUUGAACACAAUAUUAUAAUAUUUAUCAUAUUAUUAUAUAAUUAUAUGAAAAUAGGUAUUACUUUCGCUAGGUCCACGCUGCCUCACUCAGCCUCUGUGUUACGGAACUUUUGGUUGAUGCACAGCGAUUGUUGCUAUCGGUAGUAUUAACUGACUUUGUAGUCAUACAUUUAUAAACUAUAUACCAGUUUUUACAACUAUAAUAUAUUUUUUUUUUCAUUUAUUGAAUUUUGCGCUCAUAAAAAAUGAUGACUUUCAGUGUUUAAAUACUGAAACGCUAUUUAGCAUUUAAGGGUACCUUAAAUAUUUUUAUUUGGUUAUUUUCUGGCGCAAAGUAACGCCUGCUUCUAUACAACAUAAUAUACAAUUUUUUCUGGGAGUCCACUUCGUCACUACGACCUUAUAUGUUAAACACUUAUCGGUGUUUUGGACAGCAUGUUAAUAAUAUUUAAAGUGACCUUAAAAAAGAAACAUUUCUGUUAAGAAAGAUUGCAAGCAUUGAUAUCAAGAUUCCGUAUAACAGAGUCUGGCGAUAGUGCCGUCAGGAGACAUUUCUUUUACAAUAAUUAUCCCUAAGUGUUCAAAGGUGCUCCAAAAUUGAAGAGG